ACUCCAGAUCCAUAUAUCCAAUCAGCUAUUCGGCUUUUCCACCUGAGUUUCUAAUAGACCUGUUAAACUUAACAUGCUUAAACUGAGCUCUAAUUUACUGCACCCAAACUCCUUGUCCUCCAUCAGUGGCAAGACCAUCUUUCUACCCGCAUAUAUAAAGAGGUACUGGUGAAACUCAUAUCCAUAGACUGCUGGUGGAACAACAGGGGCAGUAUUUUUUUUUUUUUUUUUUUUUUUUUUUUGAGACAGAGUCUCGCUCUGUCACCCAAGUUGGAGUACAGUGGCGCAAUCUCGGCUCACUGCAAGCUCCGCCUCCUGGGUUCACGCCAUUAUCCUGGCAGCUUCAAACUCCUGGGCUCAGGGAGGCUCCUUCUGCCUCAGCCUCUUGAGUAGCAGGAACUACAGGCAUGUGCCAAUGUGCCACAGUGCUUUGCGAAUUUUCUUUCCUUUUUUUUUUUUUUUUUUNUCAGAGAUGGAGUCUUUCUGUGUUUCUCAGGCUGGUUUCAAACUCCUGGCCUCAUACAAUCCUCCUGCCUCAGCCUCUAGACUAGCCAGAUUGCAAGCACAAACUACCAAGCCCUGAUCAAGUGUGUAUCUUCUACAGCCAGUCCUCCAUCUCAUUUGGAUUUUUCUGACUUUAUGAGAUAUUUUCUUAGCUGCCCUGACUCCAGUUUUCCCUGUUUCCAGAAGAGUUUUACAUAGGACAUUCAAUGUCUUGUAACACUAACCUCCCCCUCCAAGGCAGCACAGCACAAAGGCUGUGAGAUAGCUCAAGUGCCACUUCUAUCUGAAAGCCACUCCAUGAUCAUCCCUGUCGGAGACCAUCUAGGCCUCCUUGAAAAUUGUAUUGCUCUUUGUUACUGUCCUAUGGGACUUAUGGACUAUGUGACAAGAAUGUCACAUUUUUGUUCCAUUUUUUGUUUUCCUAAAUUUUAAGCUCAUUGCUAGAAAUGUACAGAAAUCUCUUCCACAGUAGGUUGGCUGACUUAUGCAAAGCAACCAUAGUAGUCGUCCAGGAAAAUGAAUAAAACAAAACAAAGCAACCGUGUCUCCAAAAUGGACAUUCUGUAAACUCUCAUUGAUUGAAAAACAUUUCUUAUAACCUGCCUUCUGGAGCAGAUUUCCUGCUUGUAUAUAAAUAAUCAUGGGGAAAGCAAAAUCCAGUGCUGUCAAAAACAAACGAGCACCUUUUAAAAACUCCCUAGUAAUUUCUACAGAAGUUUUAGUAGUUGUUAAAGCUGAUCUUUGUUGCAUCCCCAAUUAUUUCAGAAGCGUCAAUCAGACACUGCAGUGGAGUCUUCCUUGACUUGUGUUACCUAAACUACAGUCAAGAGUCAUUUGCUUGUCUUACAUUCAAACAAAAAAAGAUUUGAUAUAAUCUUAUUUUCU
rnacentral:lncRNA from 1 species